rnacentral:misc_RNA from 1 species
GUACCCUCAAGCUCUGCUUGGUGUUGGGUGUUUGUCUCGCCUCGCGUGUAGACUCACCUUAAAGCAAUUGGCAGCCGGCAUACUGGUCUUGGAGCGCAGCACAAUUUGCACUUCCUGCCAGCAUGACGGCGUCCAUAAGCCCACAUUUUUGC